UACUGAGUUACCGCUCUACAACCCUUUGUGAACAUACCUAACCGUUGCUUCGGCGGGCAGGGGAAGCCUCUCGCGGGCGACCCCUCCCGGCGCCGGCCCCAUCACGGGGGCGGAGCGCCCGCCGGAGGAAACCAAACUCUAUUUACACGACGUCUCUUCUGAGUGGCACAAGCAAAUAAUUAAAACUUUUAACAACGGAUCUCUUGGUUCUGGCAUCGAUGAAGAACGCAGCGAAAUGCGAUAAGUAAUGUGAAUUGCAGAAUUCAGUGAAUCAUCGAAUCUUUGAACGCACAUUGCGCUCGCCAGCAUUCUGGCGAGCAUGCCUGUUCGAGCGUCAUUUCAACCCUCAAGCACCGCUUGGUUUUGGGGCCCCACGGCCGACGUGGGCCCUUAAAGGUAGUGGCGGACCCUCCCGGAGCCUCCUUUGCGUAGUAACUAACGUCUCGCACUGGGAUCCGGAGGGACUCUUGCCGUUAAACCCCCAAAUUUUUUCAGGUUGACCUCGGAUCCUGUAGGACUACCCGCUGAACUUAAGCAUAUCAAUAAAC
rnacentral:rRNA from 1 species